CCUACGGGGCGCAGCAGUGGGGAAUCUUCCGCAAUGGGCGAAAGCCUGACCCAGCAAUGCCGCGUGAAGGAAGAAGGCUUUCGGGUUGUAAACUUCUUUGACAGGGGAAGAGCAGAAGACGGUACCCUGAAAACAAGCCACGGCUAACUACGUGCCAGCAGCCGCGGUAAUACGUAGGUGGCAAGCGUUGUCCGGAUUUACUGGGUGUAAAGGGCGUGUAGCCGGGAAGGCAAGUCAGAUGUGAAAUCUGGAGGCUCAACCUCCAAAUUGCAUUUGAAACUGUUUUUCUUGAGUACUGGAGAGGCAGACGGAAUUCCUUGUGUAGCGGUGAAAUGCGUAGAUAUAAGGAGGAACACCAGUGGCGAAGGCGGUCUGCUGGACAGCAACUGACGGUGAGGCGCGAAAGCGUGGGGAGCAAACAGGAUUAGAUACCCCUGUAGUC
rnacentral:rRNA from 1 species